rnacentral:rRNA from 1 species
UACGAAGGGGGCUAGCGUUGCUCGGAAUCACUGGGCGUAAAGGGUGCGUAGGCGGGUCUUUAAGUCAGGGGUGAAAUCCUGGAGCUCAACUCCAGAACUGCCUUUGAUACUGAAGAUCUUGAGUUCGGGAGAGGUGAGUGGAACUGCGAGUGUAGAGGUGAAAUUCGUAGAUAUUCGCAAGAACACCAGUGGCGAAGGCGGCUCACUGGCCCGUAUAGACGCUGAGGUGCGAAAGCGUGGGGAGCAAACAGGG